rnacentral:misc_RNA from 1 species
UUUCCGUAGGUGAACCUGCGGAAGGAUCAUUAAAGAGUAAGGGUCUUCGGGCCCGUUCUCCAACCCUUUGUUUAACUACCAUGUUGCUUUGGCGGGCCCGUCUCACGACCGCCGGAAGUUUGGCUUCGACCAAACUUCUGGCCCGUGCCCGACAGUGGCCCCUUCAAAUUCUUGAUCAAUUAUGAUGUCUUAGUUAAAAACUUAAUAGUUAAAACUUUCAACAACGGAUCUCUUGGCUCUG